rnacentral:rRNA from 1 species
GGCGAACGCUGGCGGCGUGCUUAACACAUGCAAGUCGAACGGAAAGGCCCUGCUUUUGUGGGGUGCUCGAGUGGCGAACGGGUGAGUAACACGUGAGUAACCUGCCCUUGACUUUGGGAUAACUUCAGGAAACUGGGGCUAAUACCGGAUAGGAGCUCCUGCUGCAUGGUGGGGGUUGGAAAGUUUCGGCGGUUGGGGAUGGACUCGCGGCUUAUCAGCUUGUUGGUGGGGUAGUGGCUUACCAAGGCUUUGACGGGUAGCCGGCCUGAGAGGGUGACCGGCCACAUUGGGACUGAGAUACGGCCCAGACUCCUACGGGAGGCAGCAGUGGGGAAUAUUGCACAAUGGGCGGAAGCCUGAUGCAGCAACGCCGCGUGCGGGAUGACGGCCUUCGGGCUGUAAACCGCUUUCGCCUGUGACGAAGCGUGAGUGACGGUAAUGGGUAAAGAAGCACCGGCUAACUACGUG